CCUGCUCCCGCCCCAGCAGCACACUGUGGUUUGUACGGCACUGUGGCCACGUCCAAACCACACUGUGGUGUUAGAGCGAGGGUAG
rfam:Dipodomys ordii contig_18239, whole genome shotgun sequence.